UGGGGGAUAUUGCACAAUGGGCGAAAGCCUGAUGCAGCGACGCCGCGUGGGGGAUGAAGGCUUUCGGGUUGUAAACCUCUUUCGCUAUCGAACAAGGCCCGCUUAGGGUGGGUUGAGGGAAGGUGGAGAAGAAGCGCCGGCUAACUACGUGCCAGCAGCCGCGGUAAUACGUAGGGCGCGAGCGUUGUCCGGAAUUAUUGGGCGUAUAGGGCUUGUAGGCGGCUUGUUGCGCCUGCUGUGAAAACGCGGGGCUUAACUUCGCGCGUGCAGUGGGUACGGGCAGGCUUGAGUGUGGUAGGGGUGACUGGAAUUCCAGGUGUAGCGGUGGAAUGCGCAGAUAUCUGGAGGAACACCGAUGGCGAAGGCAGGUCACUGGGCCAUUACUGACGCUGAGGAGCGAAAGCAUGGGUAGCGAACAGG
rnacentral:rRNA from 1 species